rnacentral:lncRNA from 1 species
AUGGCGUUGCUCGUGCCAUUAAAGAAGAAGAAGCUCAUGGGAGUCAGACUUGGAGAGCUGCCGAGCUGGAUAAUGAUGCGGGAUUUCACCCCUAGUGGCAUUGCAGGAGCCUUUCGGAGAGGGUAUGACCGGUAUUACAAGUACAUCAACGUUCAGAAAGACAGCAUCUCGGGGAUUAGCAUGGUCCUGGCAGCCUGCGUGGUUUUCAGCUACUGCAUUUCUUACAAGGAACUCAAACAUGAGCGGUGA